CCUCUUGAUCUUCCUCAAAAGAUUGCUGUUUUGAUGGAACUUUGUCUUUAUUUGGGAGGCAAAUUGUCAAAGCCUUUGUAACACCCGGUGGAAAGUGCUUGGACUGAUAGUUUGGAACUCGUGGUCUGCAGACCCUGACCAUCAUGGACUGAUUUUCAGGCAGUUCUGGAUACUGAAUAAGUAAAUCCAGUUCAAAUGAGUCAGUUUCAAGUUCCUGCUUUCAUUUUUCUAACUGCUGUGAAGCUCACAUACAAAUAAAGUAACGACCUGAGCUUUAGGUAAGAAAGAAACCUGUUAACUGUGCUGUGUCCAGGACUGAUGGUCAUCACUGGCUUACAAAUACUGGCAACUGUCUUGUUUACAUGUGGAUCUCUAAGGACUCAGGUAUUGCCCCAGAAAACACACCAGCUUGUCCAGGUGUGGAAGGCCUGUGGCGUGCCACAGCUCUCUUGUUUGAAAUGUUCCUGGUUUUCAUGUGAAGAAGGUAGUGUUUCAACACCAUUGCUUUGAGGAAUAUCUGACAGCACAUAUAGCUGCUUCUUUGAGCUAAACAGAUGUCACCUGCCUCAUUCUUAUUCCCAAAAAGACGGCAGUUAGUCCCCUGUGAUAGUUUGUAAGAUAAGUGGUUGUGUUCUUUCACUGAUUCUUCUCAUUUAGCGCAAGUUGAGUCACAAAAGGUUUUGUACAGGUCAGCACAACAGACUGUUCUCUUCAGUGGAAACCUGAGUUACUGGUAAAAACACCACGGCAAUCUCUAGCUGUUUGUUGAAGAGAAGGUUUUUUCCUCGUAUUCUCCUGGGCCUUUUGAAGAUAAAAGAACUUAGUGCACGUCAGUAUUCCAGUCACAAGUGCAGAGCACAGAACACGGGGAGACCUAUUCCACUCCAGUUAAGAAAUCUGGAGUUAAAACCAUGGGAAUGAGAGGAAUUACCGGGGUGUUUAAGCUUUAACAGCAGCUCUCUCCAAACACCGGGUAACCCUCGCAUUGGCCGUUGGAAGAGCCCAUCGUUCAGAUAGCCAGGCACAAAACCAAGAGAAAGCAGCUCUCAUGCAAGACAGCAAAUUGCUUAAAGCCACCAUGGGAGAUGCUUUGCAGCGACUACUACGCCAAUGGACUGCCAGUGAGACAUUCUGUGCCACAGCCCAGAAACUGAUGCCUAGAGAUGCCAUUUCUUGUCUCCAAGGGACUGGUUCUCCAUGGCUGGAGUGUGAGGUUCAUACCCAGGCUUCAAUAUUGGAAAUGCAGGAGCAUGGGGAACUGUGAGAUAAACAGACCCACUUUGAUGGUAAUGGCUUCUCGUUGUCUGCUUCAAAUCUGUGUAGCCUCUGCUUGGUGUCUUCCAAAUGAAGGAGGUAUGAAGCUAAGGUGCCCCAAGCCAAAUGCAGUCCCAGGCUGACCACAGUUACAUCAGAACCACCGCUGUGAGUGUCGGGCUCGCUCUGCCUGAGCUGAGAACUGGAGUGAGUGCAGCACCAAGCACAGGGCAGCUGAAGGCAUAGCGAGGGAAGGGAUUAAGACAGGCAAAACACCGCUGGAUUUCCUUGUUAGCCAGGUCACAGGAGGUACAUCAUGACACAAGGAGCCAGAGAAUGAAUCCCAAGCUAUGCUUAAGGGUAGCUUCCCUACAGAACCUAUUUCACCCUCUGCACUGCUAAAAAGCUUCUGGUAAGCAGUGAGAAAGGUGGCUUUAAGCAACUUAAGUCCAUUCCUCUGAUCCCAGGCCAACUGGGGACUGUUUAGGCCUCUGCAUAAGUCAAAGAAGCCUAAGGCUGUGCUUUCUGCCCUGUGCUGACAUGUCUCCUUCGGUGGAGGUGGGGAGAGCAGGUGGUAGGGAGAAGGCAUAGCCCUGCCUGGAUCCUCCUGUCUGUAAGAGCAGAGCUGCAGGGCAGCUCUCUGCCUGCUUUUGUGCUGUUGAGGCAAAUAUUGCACCGAGUGUUGAGUCUGCUCUGCACAGAACAACGAGUUAACUUCAGAGAUCUAUUUAUUUAUUUUAGCAUAAAAUACUCUCGAGGGCUUCUGAUCUGGAUGGGUUGUGAGUCAACAGAUGCUUCAUUUAUUCCAGUAUCACAGUGUGAUGCUGCCCUGGGCUUGUUUCUGAUUUUGAGGCGCUGCAGUGGAGUUUCGAUAGCUGGGCAGCUUUCAGGAUUGGCAGCUCAGCCAGCAGACGAG